rnacentral:ncRNA from 2 species
AGCAACUACUGGGGGUGCCUGCGGAAAGCAGGCUGAGAGAAAAACUGGCCCGUUUUUUAACCCUUUGGACCUGAUCUGGAUGAUGCCAGCGUAGGAAAGUAGCGAAGUGGAACU